rnacentral:rRNA from 1 species
CAGUAGCCGCGGUAAUACGUAGGGUGCGAGCGUUAAUCGGAAUUACUGGGCGUAAAGCGGGCGCAGACGGUUACUUAAGCAGGAUGUGAAAUCCCCGGGCUCAACCUGGGAAUUGCGUUCUGAACUGGGUGGCUAGAGUGUGUCAGAGGGGGGUAGAAUUCCACGUGUAGCAGUGAAAUGCGUAGAGAUGUGGAGGAAUACCGAUGGCGAAGGCAGCCCCCUGGGAUAGCACUGACGUUCAUGCCCGAAAGCGUGGGUAGCAAACAGGAUUAGAUACCCGCGUAGUCCCUGUCUCUUAUAC